UCUCAUAGCUCAAAUCUUCUUCGUUUUGAUCAGAAAUCCCAAAUAGAGCUCCGAUUAGAAAUUCAAAAGAUAGAAGACGAUUAUCUGAUCAAAACCUAAAACCUUGAUUCAAUUUUGAUCGGAGCUUUUUUUUUUAUCCCAACUCUUUCUGUCUCUCUCUCUCUCUCUCUCUCUCUCUCUCUCCAAUGGCGUACUUCUUCUUCUUCUCUGUUUCUCUGCCCUCGCUUCGCAUCCGGAGCAGGACGACGUUGUUUGGAUUUGAAAUCGAUUUCGAGCUUGGAAAAAUGUUGAAAAUGGAGCAAGUGUUCUCGUUCCUGCAGUCGGACGACGACCGAAACUCGACCUCGCUGGUGUGCAAAGUCGUGGUAGAUGAUUGAGCGGUGAGCUGAAAAUUCAGAGCUUUGGUUUUUGCAUUAUCGGUAAUCUGUUAGUUACAUUCAGAAUGAUAAUACUAUGCUGGAGAACAAGCAAAAAGAGCUGAAGGGAUACAUAGCUUACUUCAGUCUAUGGAAACUUUCGUGAAUGCUUAUGAGGCUAUUGUAGACAUAAUGUAGGAGCCAUAUAUUUUUGGAAGGAAUAAAGUUCAAACAAAUGCUCAAUGGCCAUGAAUGUGGGAGCCAAUCACAAAGCUGUGCAUCAUGAAGAUGGCAAAAAGAUCACCAGGUUUGGAUAUGAUAUUAUACGUUGAGAUCUCUCUUUUGCAUUCCUAACAAACCCAGUCUUUCACAUUUAUUUGUAAUGCUUCUAACUGAUGCGCUAUUUUAAAAGAGGGACUGACCUGGAGAGUAUGACCAUAGUUCAACGUGAUGCUUUACUGGUUUUCCGAACCCUGUGGUUUGUGUUUUUGUACACUGUCUUCUAAUUGUUGAGUUAUUUAAGCAACUUGAAGCCUCAUAUAUGAAUUUUGAAACUUGGUCUGCAGAUGGGCAUGAAGGAAGAUAACAAUGAAGUCACUUUGAAGACGAGGAUUUCCUAACCCUUCAAAUUCUUAUUUAGGGUUCAAUGUAGUCAGCACAAUAUUGGAUUAUGUUCCUGAGAUACUUAGCAUGUUCAAAUCAUAGCUCUGUAAGUGGUCAAAUGGACUUCAUUUGACUGUAGCUUUUACAUCUAAGUUAACCUUUGCUAUAGAACUUUAAUCAAGUUAUGAACUGUAAUUCCAUUACUUACUACGUAAGUGCCAGAUUGGUUACUAAUGGCUUAUUGUGUAUGUAUCAGUCACAGAAUAGCUUCUUUCACCUUCCCCUCACUUUAUUUGCACAAAUUAAUUUUGACUAUAUUUGAGGAUUCUUUGUUGACAGGUAAGGGCUCUAUUUCUGUGUCUUUUCUAUAUAUUUUAAGAUCUAGAUAUUAUUUUGUUGUGUGCUUUAAUUAAGAUAUGAACCAUUGUAUAUAGGAAGAACAGGAAGGUUAUCUCAUCAUCUUAAAAUAUUUUUCUUUAGAUCAACCAUGCUACAUUAUUUAUUGAUUUAAGGUUGAGGGAGUGGACAGGUAAAAACACUAAGGUAUAUUGUUGUUCACAGGAAGGUUAUCUCACCAGGUAAAUACUAUCCUUAGUAAACAUUUCUGGCACUAAGGAUAAGUGUUAUUCAAAAAUGAUAUUUCAACUGCUUCAAUAAGGUAUUAGUUCGGUAGUCUAAUGCUUCAAUCCUUAUUGCAUACUUUCUGGCAGGCAAAAGCUUUGGCAGAGCCUUUUGAUUAUAGUGAAUACAUUGAACACCAAAAAAAGAAGAAGCUAGAAAAAGAAUUUCUGGGACAGCGAAUUACGGUUAGACACUUUCUUCUAAGAAUAUUGUUUGUAUAUUUACAAACCUUAUAAUUCUUUUUGUACCUUUGCAUCCAAACUAAUUACUAAUUUGUUUUCAUCUAUAUAAGUUAGUCAUCCAUGAAGAACAUUCAACAUUGCUCUGAGGUGCUCUAAUAAUUUUUUUGAUGUUCUUCAUACUUUCCAAAUAUGGUAUUAUUGUACAUCUAAUACUGCAAGGUAUUCUGACUCUUCAUUUGGUUACAACUCUAUCCAGAAUAUCUCAAGGGAUGCAAAAUGCAGAUCUAAUAUGGCUGUUGCGUCCCAGACUACUUCAAUAAAGGGUUCAUCUCUUCUGGUUGCUGGAUGACCUCUUUUUCCUUGACCUUGCCAGUGUCUUGUGAAUGUGAUUAAAUCACUCGUAGAUUGGGAAAAGUCAUGUGGAGAAUCAGAUAAAAUAAAAACACUCAGUCUCUGGAAGGAGAUGCUUCAGCUAAAGAGUCUGUUGAUGUGAAAAGCAGGCAAGAUGCAACCACUAACUUUGAGAAGGCAAAAGCUCAUAAGUCUACAGUGGAAGCUGCCAUAUCUACAUGAGGUGGAAUAAAGUGAUGCUGUAUUACUAAUACUUUUGUAUCUCAAGUGCAUUUUUAUAAAUGGAAUAAAGAGAGAAAACACCAUAAUUUUGUUGGUGGUUAUGUACUUUUUUGUUUGACGUAUAAUGAAUGUAAUGCAGCUGUUAGAACA